rnacentral:ncRNA from 24 species
GGUUCAUCGAGAGUGGCGGAGGGACUGGCCCCAUGAUGCCACGGCAACCUCUCCCGCGGGGAGAACGGUGCCAAAUCCAGCGGACACUCGGUCCGAGAGAUGAAGC